ACAAAAAAAAAAUGAUGCCUCAAAGUUUUAUGUUUUAAUCUAAUUUGGCUGAAAUUACUUUCGGUUAAUUUCAAUUUACUAUUUUUAAAUUUGAAAACACUUAAGGGCCGUUCACAUUAUAACUAUACUAUAAAAAUAUAGUUUUAAAAAUAAUUUUAUGUUAAAGACAACAGCGAAGUUCACACCACAACUACAAUGAUAAAGAUAAAAUAAACAAAAUCAUUGGGAUCAGUUUCUAAGCGAUUUUUUUUCAACUGAUGAAUGAUAAACCAUUGACAGCCAAUCAAAUCUUUUUGAACUUCAAGUACACGGGCAUUUGAAAAGACAAAUGUUGAACGCUGUUGCUGUGAAAUUGACUGCGUAAUGCUUUUUUUUCUACUACGUUAACUACGCCAAAAGGUAGGAUAUUAGAUUACACAAACUACUAGAUUCACUGUUUAGAGUUACGCGAAACGCAGCAUGUUCAGCACAUCUGCUGAAAACUUAAUAAUGUGUUAAUAUGCUGUUCUUGUUGCAUGUCAGUGGGUAACAACCCACUGACAUGCAACAAGAACAGCAUAUUAACACAUUAUUAAGUUUUUAGUACAAUAAAUAUGCAGUAUUAGUUAAUGCCAUUUAAAGGAUUUGCGUGUAGUAGGCCUAAACUGAUCUCGGGUCCAUGGAUUAAGCCCCGGUGCAGUGCUGGUGGUCUGACUGACUGCAAAUAAUUGCGUGAAAUAAUUUUAAUGUAUUAAUGAUUAAUUAAAUACAUGCAUCAACGCAUUAACACUGACAGCCCUAGUUUCAACAUUAAAUCAAGUUCUACAUGUAGGUUCGGGAGGAGCUUAAACAUUCAGUCCUGUAUCUGCGCUUUCCCAGCUACAAUUCUUCGGACAUCCCUCCUCCCCAUCUCCUUUAAAACUCUUUUUUUGCUUCAUGCAAGUUUGAACUUUGGGCUCGAUAUGAGCCUCGGGUUUGAGGUCCUUUCGAGGGCAGCAAGGUCUAGUAAUAUAAGAAUUGAGAUAGCACCACGAUCGGAUGUUAAAAGGAGGUCAUUUGUAACUCUAAGCAGUGCAUGUGCUAUGGUGGGGACUGAAUCCUCAUUGGAACUUUUCAUACCUACUAUUUUUCACUAAGAAUGUGCAUAAUUGGCUUGACACUACUUUUUCCUAAUAUUUUAGAAAGAAAAGGGGAGAUUUGGAAUUGGUCAAAGUUUAAGGUCUCCUUGGUCGAGGUGCGGCUUUUUAAUGAGGGGUCUAAAAACUGCCAGUUUGAAAGCUGUUGGAACGUAUCCUAGUUCUAGCAAUGAGUUAAAGAUAUUUAGUAAAGGGUCUAACAGUACAGGGAAUACCUCUUUUAGUAAUUUUGUGGGAACAAGAUCUAAUAUGCAUGAUGAUGAUGAUUUUAUUGAUUUUGAGAGCUCCUCAAUUGUAGUAGCUUUAAAUGACUCAAGUUGUUUAUGUGGUAAUCAAGUGAAGAGUUUUGUUGUGUUUUUUUUAUUUUGAUUUAAACCUUCAUAACUUAAAAAGUACAGCUAAGUAGCACCAUAAAACAAAAUAAUAACAUGAUAACAUAAUAAUAAACAUGUUUUGACAAAAAUGUUAAAACCGGAGUUUUGCAACGAAACUCUUCAAGUGUUCAGUUAGCCUGGUUAGCCAGACCUACAUCAAGAUGUAAGGUCUGGCAACUCUUCACACAAACGGCUCAAUGCAAGGGGCGGGAUAUAAGGUUGUCCCUCAAAAUGCCUCUGCACGCAAUAGGAUAGCGCUAUGACGGAUCAGAGCAACACUCCAAACACAUCUUUCUUGCUUAAAAAGGACUUCAGUAGGGUUUAUUUGCUCUUCUCUCAAAGAAAAACAUAAGUCUAAGUCCUCCAGAGUCGCCGCCAAAGCCGCUUCAAAAGAUAGCUGUUCGCCAGCAGGAGCAGCCAUUCUCUGUUUUCAAGUAGGAACCGUUGCAGCUCUGUCGUCAUCAUGUUAAGCCCGCCCCACAGACGCUACACACGAUGUGAUUGGCCUGACCAAAUUUUGGUUUUUGGACCGGUUAAGUGUAUUGUGAGUGCCUAGACUAAACCCUGGCAGCAAAUAUAUUUUGCGGCCGCUAGGGUGCGUCUAGAUUUCUAGGCUAGUGUUCAGUGGCAGUGGCAGCUGAUGCUAAAAAAAAUGGGGGGGUCGCAAACAAACUUAGUUAAACUUUUACUGUAGUAAUGCAGGACUGUAAAUAGACAUUUAUCAGGUGAUGAAUAUCAUUACUGUUUAGCUAAAAUACUGAAAAUGUUACUGUUGAAGUCAACUGUUAAAGCAUGAAAUAAAUGUACUAUGAAUCUGUGAAUUUGAGUGUAAUGUGGGUUUAUUAUCAGUAAUGAGUAGCAUCCAGAAGUUGCGUUAUGCUGCGUUUACACCAGCUGCGGUAAAGGCGUGAAGCACAAGAGAUUUCAAUGUUAAGUCAAUGUGAAGACGAGUUGACGCGCAUCUGGAGGCGGAUGAGGCGUUUGGCACGGCGCGGAAGACGCGAUUCCGCCUCGUUCGCGCGAAUGGCACGAAUUGAGCGCCUGCGCGGUACGUGCGAAUGGUGCUUUUUGUGCAUUUUGCAUUUGACACGAAUUUGCUGCUGACGCCCGAGUUGAAAAAUUUGAACUUUGCCGGAAUUUUGCGCGGUGUUAACCAAACAGGACCCUGCUUGCUGCUGUGGCGGCAGCGCCGCCCGGAGUCACUCAUUUAACCUGAGGCUUGAUAUUGUCUGGAAGCAGUCACCCGGAGCUAUACAACACAGUUCUUAUUUCUAUAGAGACAGGAAUAAAAGGGACAUCGCUUGGAAGAGUGUCAGUGAGGACAUCGGGCAACCUGGUAAGUUGUAAUACACAUUUCACUUUUGAGUCACGUGAUGUUUAUCAACCCGCGCCGUUUAUUUUCUCCCUAUUCACCUUAUUUUUCACGACAACAAGGGCGGCGCCAUUGCACUCAUUUUGUCAACGUACUUCUGGCCGCAUUAAGAUGAUGAGCAGCUGAGCCAGUGGCUGAAGGCGUUUAACUUAAAAAGUUCACUCAAGUGCCUUUAUGUUUGUUUCUUACCAAUUUUAAUGGAUGGGAAGCUGACUGAGGAACACCCUUAUCCCGAGUAAUAUAGUUUGGCUACGAUGUUCCGGUAACUUGAAGCCACACCGGGUGUUGAAAAGGUGGUUAGUUUCAGGAAAGCUAACUUAGCUAACUAUGUGCUUGCUCGCCUAACAUUAGAUUUGUUGAACUCCGUUCUAUGAAUACACUUAAGAUCAGUAACAUUAGUUAAUAAAAUGCAACUAUUUUGAAUGAUUUUCAUUGCCCACCUAUAUUUUUAUAUUUACGAUAGUACAACAAGAUAUUAUAUAGUACAUUACAUUCUUACAGUAGCUCGCGUGAUUCCUACAAGUUACCGAGAUUUCAGAUGCUAGGAGGUCAGUUCAUUUCUCAUUCAGAUAUUGAUAAUGACCUAUUAAACGACAUUAUACACACAACCUCUAACUUCAGUGUUAAAUAAUGUUACUGUCUCUUUUUAAUGCAUCUCUCUCUCUCUCUCUCUCUCUCUCUCUCUCUCUCUCUCUCUCUCUCUCUCUCUCUCUCUCUCUCUCUCUCUACCUCUCACACACACACUCUCUCUCUCUCUACCUCUCACACUGUUCUGUUUAAGUAUGGGUGCCAUUUAUAUAUUAAUUCUCAUGAUGCAAGUUUAUUUUAAAUGCUAACAUAAAAAUGUUUAUGGUUAUAUUAUUUUCACAGAUACAUUGCUGCGUGUCAGUGAUGCAGUGGACAACUGUGAGGAUGAUACUGUGAUGUUCCUGAACUGUGAUGCAGAAACACAAUUGGAGGAUCCAUCCGUCUCUGAUGACAACUACACUUUAAAAUCACAACUCAACCUGAAGCAACCUACAUCUAAUAUGGGAAAACACUGGUGCGGUUAGCCGGACAGGGCUUAUCCUGGUCCCAGGCUAAAAUGUAUAUUUGAGCUACAAUAAUUUAAAAACACCUUGUACAUACCUCAACAUAUAUGAGUGCCAUUGUUUUGUCACAAGAUGCACACCAGUCUUGUUUUUUUUGUAGGGUUUGUAGAAGCUAAAAUGUCCUAAUAUAAGUAAGGCCUAGUCCUGUAAACCCGUCCGAGAAAAUGCUCCAAUGUGUUGAGCUGGCACAAAUGUACAUAACUCUACUGAGAAACAACCAUCUUAGUCAGCUUUACACUAGGCAUGGGCCGGUUACCGGUUCCAAGGUAUACAAGGUUUUAAACAGUGAAGGUUUCAAAACCACUCAAAUGUUUUGUGAUACCGUCUCCAAGGUAUGAGCUGAGUUUAUACAAAUUCAUUAAAUCAUUAAGGCAUGUGAUUGAUUUGAUGUUUACAUUUAAUAUGCAUUACAAAAAAUUAUAUAUUUUUGAAAGCAUAUUAUAAUUUAAUACUGCAAUACUGCAACACCAUGAAACUGUGGUAUUUUGCUAAAGGUUAUCAUACCGCCAGAAUCUUAUACCGGCCCAUGUCUACUUUUCACGGGGUUGAUAUUGCAUGCAUUACAUUAAGUUGCAGAGCACUUUACCAGUACAUACUGUACACCAACAGCUUCCAGAUAUAAGCUUGGGAUCAGCUCCUGAUGACUCUGAUAAAGCUACAUCUUAAUUUAUUGCAGGGUGGUCUUGCUGAAAAGUUAGCUGUUUCUUGGUCCAUAGUUAUUUUUAUAAACCUUCAUAUCUGAUCAGAUGUUACCUGGCUGUCAGGCAGUUAUAUUAAAGGGGCUGUGAAUUUGUCGAUUUUAUUGUUUUAUACUGUUGUCUGAUGUCUACUUAUGAUGUUAGCAUGGUUUUUACAUUCAAAAACAUUAAAAGCAAUAAGUAAUAUGCUAUUUUGUAACAUGGAUUAGUGGCUCUCUGGAGAAAAGCUUCGUUUGAAGGGGUGGGCCACAUUGAAAACCUGGACGUAAACACCCACUGCUAUGAUUGGACAGCUUCAUUUUCCGUCAUUACAUGUGGAGAAAAGUUUAAAAAACAUUAAUGUGUAAAAAUAGAAGCCGAACACAUAUAUGUUUGAGCCACAAAAGAUUCUGGCUGCUAAAGAUGAUAAACAUAAAUGACACUACGUAUAGUAAAGUAGAAACAAAACUUUAAACUCGGCGUGACUAAAUUACCGUAUACAACACAGUAAGCGCGCAUCAGAAUAUAAACUGCGGCUGAUAAAUCCUUAUGACUAACUUUGUAUAUUUCUGUUGUGCUUGUGAGGUUGCUCUUACCUACACGUAACAGUUAUAUGAUCAGAAAAGAUUUGUUGAGUGUUUGACCUUUCAAACGCAACUCACCUAAAUUACCGUAUACAACACACUAAGCGGGCAUCAGAAUCUAAAUUGCGGCUGGUAAGUCCUUCAUCACUAACUUUGUAUAUUUAUAUUGUUAUAUUGCAGUCGUAUUGUUAAGUGUUGUACCUUAAUUAAUCGUUUAAUGUUUUAAGUAAAUUAAAACAGUCUAACAUACGUGUUUAGACACAGAUGUUACAACAGGACAUAUCAAGCGACCUCUUCAAAAAAACCAAUAGUGAAACGCAGUAACUUAAAUAAAGUUAAAUGUUAAACUUACUGUGUAUACUGCUGUGUCAUUUUUGUCAGAUCCAAUAUUAGUGGUGCUUUUAGUCUCUCUGCAAAUCCAGCAUCGACUUCUGAAUCAGCGGUACACAAAGUAAACCAACACUCCACAUGCGAGCUGGAACUUAUUCAAAAACAAACUUUAUCCACACAUUCCUAAUGUUAUGUUCUGAGCCUACGUUAUCCAGCGUCUGUGUUCUUCCCAUAGACGGUUCUUCCACAACUGAAAAUGCGUUUCCAUGGUUACUCUAUCAUAACAGAUCACCGCGUCAAAAUAAAAGUCUCUCAGAUUUUUUUUUAAAGUCAUUUUGGUUACAUUUGGCAAUCUUUAAAGACAUGUUUAUUGAUUGUUGAGACACAUGUGUCACGCAAAGCUGUGGGCGGGGCUACAAAAGUGGUCGUUGUAUUUGGGUUCGGGGAGGUGCUUCAAUUCUACUUUGACGUCAUAUUUCUCCGAAUUCGGCUGUAAUACUGGCUUGGUGCCAAAAACAAUUAUAUUUCAGUAGCACGGACGUUUUCAGUUCUGAAAUUUGCAGGAUAUAUAACAAAUUAUCAAGUUAAAAUUGGGUAUUUGAUUCACCGCUCCUUUAAACCUUUACAAUGUGAUCAGAUGUUAUCUGCCAUGCAGUUAUAUUAAACCUUUACAAUGUGAUCAGAUGUUACAUGUCAUGCAGUUAUAUUAACCUUUACUAUGAGGCUGUUUACACUUGGCAUUAACAUGCGUUUUCAUCGAUCGGAUCACAAGUGGACGAGAGAGACACAUUACGUUUACACCUGGUAUUUAAAUCCGUCUCUUUUGUCCACUUUCGACCGCAUCUGUCCUGAAUAGUGUGAGGGGGUGGUCUGUGAGACGGUGGGCGAACCUCUCUGCUGUCAUUCAAACCCGAGCGGGAGUAAUUAUGAGUUUAUAUGGACGCAAACUAAUAUUAUGUCGGAGUCCACUGCUUGUUUAGCAAGUAUACAUGUUGCAUAGUGUUUUGUACGUUUAUAUGUUGGAGCUUUCUCUGAAUUUUCAGCGCAAUUGAUGAAAUAGGAUCGCGCAACUUUCACACGCUUUCAAAACGAAACUACGGAGAUCAGCCGCUUAAGUUGUAUCAAUGAAAGGCUAGAAAUAGCGCUGUUCACCGUAUGUUUACGCCAGAAGUCAAAAAAAGACGUAAAACUUGUGUUUAAUACCUCAGAUUAGAUAAAUGGGCGGAGAGAAGGCGGUCGCGUGUGGCUGUUCGAACGCAUUCAACCACAUAUGCGUUCCGCAACUCCAAAGCGAUCGGAUCGAAAGUGGUUUCGACUACCUCUGAAUGUGGUUGAAAGUGGUCGAAAGUGGACGAGCUCAAAACGUUUUGAACACCGUUUACACCUGGCAUUAACGUCGUCCACUUGUGAUCCGAUCGACGAAAACGCAUGUUAAUGCCAAGUGUAAACAGCCUCUAUGUGAUCACAUGUUACCUGUCAUGCAGUUAUAUUAAACCUUUACAAUGUGAUCAGAUGUUACCUGUCAUGCGGUUUAAUUAAACAUUUACAAUGUGAUCUGUUGUGCCAGUUAUAUUAAACCUUUACAAUGUGAUCAGAUGUUACCUGCCAUGCAAUUAUAUUAAACCUUUACGAUGUGAUCAGAUGUUACCUGUCAUGCAGUUAUAUUUAAACAUUUACAAUGUGAUCAGAUGUUACCUGUCAAGCGGUUAUAUUAAACAUUUACAAUGUGAUCUGUUGUGCAGUUAUAUUAAACCUUUACAAUGUGAUCAAAUGUUAUCUGCCAUGCAAUUAUAUGAAACCUUUACAAUGUGAUCAGAUGUUACCUGUCAUGCAAUUAUAUUAAACAUUUACAAUGUGAUCUGUAGUGCAGUUGUCACAGAGUGACUUUUUGAAGGGGCGGAACUGAAAGUGGGCAAAGAUUAGUUCCGGUAGACCAAAUUUGGGUAGGAUUGGCAACAGGUGUGUUGUGGAACGUGGCAAUCGUUGAUUGGGUGAUUCAGCAGGGAAGAGGAGUAUAAAAAGGGCAUCAGAAAUACAAGAAGUGGUUGUGGAUUUCCAGCAGAUACUGCGAGUGGAGUAGAAUGUUCGGGGAAUUCCGAGAGCAAGCCGAGACGGUUAUAUUGUUGAUUUGGACCCUCGCAAAGCGAAGGAAGGAGUGGGACAACAGAAAUAUACAGGUUUGAAACAGAAAAUUUGAUUGGAUUAAAUGCUGUGUUGACUUGUGCUGCCUUUACAAAAGGAGUGAUAUUUACCCGAAGAGUUGCUAGAGGAUUCGGUGUCAAACGGAUGCCACCCUGUUGGCUGUGAAUGAGUGAGUAGCUGCAAAGACAAAGAGAGGAAAAUUAGCAUCAAAGGAAUUGUGAGUAUAUUGAAUGAUUAAUACGUCCAUAUACCUUACCUUGAAUAUGGAAUACCAACCAUUGCUGUAAGUUGUGAAACAGUGUGUAAGUGGCCCCACGGUGGAAAGGAAUUGUGGGCGAGCCGAGUAUCGAUUAAUGGGAGGACGUUAUCCUGCUGUAGCUGCGACGUCAACUGUGAGCCAUCUGCUUGUCAGUGUUUGGAUUCUCCCCUGGACGAACCCUCGGUCCAAACGCAAGGUGCUGACCUUAAGUCACUAGAGUGUGUGAAGUGCAUUGGGUGAGUCUUAGUUGACGUGUGUACACCUGAAGAUUGUAGUGCUGUGCCGUGCCCCUGUUGUCUGCACUUACCCUUUAGGCCGAGUAGAAAAUCCUGUGGGGAAGGACUUACGCUGUGCCAGUAGUGACCAUCUCUUUUAUGUAUGCCUGCUCAUAACUCCGACCCUCUUUCUCCAUCUGGAGGUGGUAAAACGAUAACAACAAGUAAGGUACACUGAAUAGUGUGGGAAAGGACGUUAACGUGGGGAAGUAUUAUCUGUUGUACGAAGUACUGCUGUGUGACCGCUGUGUGUGUUGACUUACUGUGGAGUCCUUCUAGAAGUUCGCCCCUGUCUAGAUCUCUUGUCCCGUGGUUUGGAAGAGAGGAGAGGGAAGCGUUCGACCCCGGUAAUUGUCUGCAUAACAGGUCUGGUACAAACAACUGACCUGAACCCACCUGGAGUGGUGGCGGUGGCUUGGCCGUGGUAGGUCCAACGAGCAGCAGUGUUUGAAUCAUACCCCUACUGCCCUUGUUCGAAGUUGUGUUUUGUCAUUGGGGUGCUCUUGGGAACCUCCUUGAGGUGGGAACUAGGAAGGGGCGUGACUCACGACACCUGUGGUCCGCUCUGACCUGUGACACAGUUAUAUUAAACCUUUACAAUGUGAUCAGAUGUUACAUGCCAUGCAGUUAUAUUAAACAUUUACAUGUGAUCAGAUAUUACCUGUCAUGCAGUUUUAUUAAACCUUCACAAUGUGAUCAGAUGUUACCUGCCAUGCAGUUAUAUUAAAGCUUUACUAUGUGAUCACAUGUUAUCCGUCAUUAGUUAUAUUAAACCUUUACUAUGUGAUCACAUGUUAUCCAUCAUGUAGUUGUAUUAAACCUUAACAAUGUGAUCUGUUGUGCAGUUAUAUUAAACAGUUACAAUGUGAUCAGAUGUUACCUGCCAUGCAGUUAUAUUAAACCUUUACUAUGUGAUCACAUGUUAUCCGUCAUGUAGUUAUAUUAAACCUUUACAAUGUGAUCAGAUGUUACCUGCCAUGCAGUUAUAUUAAACCUUUAUUAUGUGAUCACAUGUUAUCCUUCAGGUAGUUAUAUUAAACCUUUACAAUGUGAUCAGAUGUUACCUGUCAUGCGGUUAUAUUAAACAUUUACACGUGACCAGAUGUUACCUGUCAUGCAGUUAUAUUAAACCUUUACAAUGUGAUCAGAUGUUACAUGCCAUGCAGUUAUAUUAAACAUUUACACGUGACCAGAUGUUACCUGUCAUACAGUUGUAUUAAACCUUUACAAUGUGAUCAGAUGUUACCUGCCAUGCAGUUAUAUUAAAGCUUUACUAUGUGAUCACAUGUUAUCCGUCAUUAGUUAUAUUAAACCUUUACUAUGUGAUCACAUGUUAUCCAUCAUGUAGUUAUAUUAAACCUUAACAAUGUGAUCUGUUGUGCAGUUAUAUUAAACAGUUACAAUGUGAUCAGAUGUUACCUGCCAUGCAGUUAUGUUAAACCUUUACUAUGUGAUCACAUGUUAUCCGUCAUGUAGUUAUAUUAAACCUUUACAAUGUGAUCAGAUGUUACCUGCCAUGCAGUUAUAUUAAACCUUUACUAUGUGAUCACAUGUUAUCCUUCAGGUAGUUAUAUUAAACCUUUACAAUGUGAUCAGAUGUUACCUGUCAUGCGGUUAUAUUAAACAUUUACACGUGACCAGAUGUUACCUGUCAUGCAGUUAUAUUAAACCUUCACAAUGUGAUCAGAUGUUACAUGCCAUGCAGUUAUAUUAAACAUUUACACGUGACCAGAUGUUACCUGUCAUACAGUUGUAUUAAACCUUUACAAUGUGAUCAGAUGUUACCUGUCAGGAAUUUCUUAAAGCAUAUCUGAGCUCUGUAGAUUCCCCUUUAAAGGAUUUAAGUCUCCUGAUUUGAAGGAAUAAGUCUUGGCAAGUUUGCAAAUUAAUUCUAUCCUGAUAUAUUACAAAUGAAUUUGUGAGUUAUUGGACUGGCUGGGGUGCACAUUUGCUUGAAAAAUACGAAAUCAUCCUAACUGUGUAAAGGCUUGCCUUUUCCGCGCUUCGUAUGCUUGAAGGCAGAUGAAUGCAGAUUCUUGUCAUUAGAUUUUUGUUGUCUAUCUUUACUUCAGAUAGACAAGGUCAGUUUUAGUUUUGUUCUGGAGAUUGAUCUUGCGCUCUUCCAUUACACUUUGAUUAUCGCAAUCUGACAUAUACGCACACAAACACACACGCAAACAAGCACAUACACACAAACACACAGUAAAGUUGCCUAAUCACAGUUUCACAGUUUCACAACUGUAUUAAAGGUGAAUCAAGGGUUAUUAUGAUUUUCUUUGAUGGGCUUGCUGAGAUGUGUAGAUCUGGUGGGUUUUAGAGCCUGUCUGUAGUGUUCAAUACUCUCUUUUCAUUUGGCAAUUCAUCUCUCUAACUUUCUGCUCCACCAUCUAUGGCUCCAUUUUUCUAGCUUCCUUUUUAAGGACUGCGUUAUGAUGGUCAUGCCAUGGUGAUACCGUUUUUCCCUUGAUUCUCUUUGAUCUAAUGGAAACAACAGCUUCCAACAUGCUAGAACAAACAUUGUUGAAGGUUUCAAAUACAGCAUCCAGAUCUUCAGGGUUAUCUGCUACAUGUUUCAUUAAUGACAGGUCUGGGAGAUUACUAAUAAAGCUAUAUUUAGUACACUCUAAAAAAAGGUUCCUUGAGGUUCUAUAUAGAACCCUGGGGUUCUAUACUUGGCCAAUAGAAUCUUUUUCCAAAAAAAGGGUUCCAUAUAGAACCCUUAGAGGGCAAAGAACCAUUUUUAUUAAAAUGGUUCUAUAAUUCACGUUUUGUGACUGAAGUGUAAACUAAAGAUUACACAAUAAUUACAGACCUACACAACUCAUUCACAAACCUUUUUGUGUCAAUAGGCUGUGGUCAAAUAAAGAGAGCGUCAACAAAUAGGCUAUUAAUAUUUAUUGUAUGAUUUAUUUCUUGUGAGCUUUUUUAUGCACGUUUGUACAUUAGCAUGAAACUUACACUGCAGUUUGCGUUUUUGGUGAAUAACCAGGUGUUUUCUUUAUUUUGUACAUUCUAUAUUGUCAAUGUUUAAUUUAACCUGAAGGGGCAUUAAAAAAAAAAUAAUCGCAAAAGUGCCCUCUGGUGGCCUAUAUAUGCGUUUCACCAUACGCGAAGAUGAGCCUCGAGACGUGACAGUUUUUUUUUCAAACUGAGGAGUUCGGACUCCGGACCGGCAUUUCUGCUUGUUGGUACCCUGAGGUAAGUAAACUUUAUACAUUUUUGAAACGAUAUUACUUAAAUAUUUAGUAUAAUUAGUUAAUAUUUAUUUUGUUAGAGUAGGUCUUGUGCUAAAUAGUGAUACUAGAAGCUACAUUUAUAAUAUUUACCUUUGUUAAAAAAUACUGCUGGUAACGUUAAAGCACUGACAGGCUUCCUCAACCGUCAGUUAUAAAAGCUCUUUUAAAUACAUUUUGUUCCGGGUUUUAAUGAAUUACGUUACAGUCCUGCUUUAUUUCUUUGUCAUUUUAAAUUAAAUUGCCAAUCACAAUAAGACAGCUGUGUUGUAAGGAGACGAAAUUCGAGACAGGAGUGUAAUUUCAAUGAAGCGCGUGGUCAAGGGAACCGGGUGGAAGACGGUGGAAGGGAAAUUAUAUGUAAAUGUUUGUCGCAGUUUUGCACAUAUUCCGUGAGUAUUUUUCGCUUGUUCAUGAGUGUUUUAUCAGGGUUGGAGCUAAACUCUGAAGGAAAGUGGAAACUGCUGGCCACAGUUGAGAACUUUCUGCCGGUCUGUAUUAUAAAUGCACGAUUGCAGUGCAGCGUUCGUAUCCGCAACAAGUCUAGAUAUGCAUGUUUUCUGUGAUGCACACUAGGGUUGUUGCGGUGACAGAAUUUUCCCACCGGUUAAUCAGCGCGUGACAAACCCGGUGUUACCGGUUUCACCGGGUGGGAGGGGCUUUUAAAUGGACAGAAGUGCGCAUUUUACUUUCACUUUUGAAUUAGAUGCAACUGUUGUUUAAAUCCAGCGCUUGCGUACGCUGCGUUAAAUCGCGUAUGCAUUUGCGUGUAGAUGCGAGUGCAACUGCUGGUUUAAGUGCUUGAGUCAAUGUGCGCAGGUACUUCUGACAGAAACCCGCCAGUCCCAAGCAGAGCAACCGGCUAUUCCUCCAUAAAGCGCUGCUUGAAUUAUGGGUUUAUUAUUAUUCUUAAUGAAAAACACAACAACAAAACGAUCUCGCCUACAUUAAACAUCAUAUAUGCAUCUUAUAACAAAAACGAAUAAGCACGCGGCUUCUGCCAUCGUCUGCUUGCCGCAGUCUGAGGAAUUAAUGAAAUCUGACACCCGCAGCCGCUGCUCUGUGAUGACGCGCGUUCAGCUCCACUAGAUUCAGACAGCAGACACAUACAGUUGUAAGUGUUUGCUCUCUCUAACGAAACUAAAUGAUUUAAUUACAAGAAAAUAUCAAAACGACGGUGAAAGACGGUGUCGCGGUGGGCAAGUGAUCUAACCGGUGAGAGGCUGAAGCACCGGUAAUCACCGUUUCACCGACUAUCGCAACAAGCCUAAUGCACACAAUGAAUUAAUGUGAUGGUAGCUGUUAAGACACUUACAUUUAACAUUCAAAUAAUUUAAAAACCAAACGUGUUCAGGUUUUUAUGCGUAUUUGGUUUGUGAAGUGUAAUUUAUGCUUUUUUCCUUCCCCUCACAGAUAACCAUGGUUAAUAAAUGGUCAGUAGAUGACAUGUCACUGGCUUUAAAAUAUAAACCCCAUUGAUGUAAAACGGUAAGGUGCUUAAAGGGACCUCGUAAACCUGACUUCUGUCACUAAUGUUCAUCAAAGAGCAAAAUAAAAGAAAUCCGUCUUUUGUAGCUUUAAUGAUAAUUCUUAUGUAUUUCAUUUAGCAUUAAAGACUGUAAAGUGUUUGAGGACUUAAUUUAAAUUCUGUAUAUUUCACACUAUUUUUUUUAUUGAACAUUGUGUUUUGAAAAAUACAUCACUAGUAAAUUGCAACCUCAAGUUAAUGUAGACUUUAAGGAACUUGUUUGUCUGAAAGUGGAUAUAUAAAGAUUUUGUGUUUUAAGAUGCUGCAUGGAAUGACAAUGAGGUUUGGAACAGACUUGGUGAAGAACAUGGAAACAUCUCUAAAUAAAAUGGCCCCAAACAUCAUCAGAAGUGCAAAAGAAGGAAGUCUGGUGAGGAAUGCUGCACUUAUGUUAUUGCAAGCAUUAUUUCAAGAAAAUCCCAGCUUCCUUUACUGUGUAAAUAGUGAACCCAAAGGUCCCGUACCAACCAUAGUGUUCAACGGCUCUCCUGAUCUUCUCAAAUCUGAAAGUAUCAACUUUAUAAUGGACAAUGUGAACAUAAUAUGUGGAAGACAUUGACAUCACAGGCUGUGGAAUGACUGUUUGCGGGGUUUUUUUCCUCCUCAAUGUUUAAUACCCUUUUGCCAUUAAGCACACAGUGACUUUUAUUUAUAAAAUAUAUGCUUAAAUUUAAAUACCUGUACAAAACAAAUGUACAAUCAACUUGUGUAAAUUGUCAUUCUAUUUAAUAGAUUGUUCAUGAAUUGUCUUUAAAUUUUUUUAUUUUUAUUUACUUUUUUAUUUGACAGGGACCAUACAAGCAAACAUAGUUAUAGUUCAAUGCCUGUAACUGAUGCGCUGCAUAUAGAGUUUAUAGCUAUUGCUAAUUCUCAACUCCUGUCCCUGGUUGGGCAUUUCUAAGAACAUUUUAAAACAGAUAACAUUUCUUCAACACACAUACACAAACACACACAAAAAAACCCAAAAUAAAUUAAAAAGAGAUACAAAUUUGGUUUGCCUUUAGCCACAACUUAACCCUUAAAAUAAAUUUAUUCAAGUCAGAAAUUGCCUUAAUAAAUGCAUUGUGAUUUAUUUUCAUCAUUUCAGACACAUGUGAAAGUUACUAAAAAUUAAUACUGCAUAUACUGUACAGUAUCUUUGUUCAUAAAAACUGAAAAUGCGUUAAGGGAAAUAACUUGAACAAAAAUUUUAAAUGUAUAGUGUAAUUAAGAGUUUAGCUGUUUAAUACAGAGAUGCAAUUUUAAUAUAUAUAUAUAUAUAUAUAUAUAUAUAUAUAUAAACGUAUGUAUGUAUGUUUAAAUAACUAAAUGGUUGAAUGUAAUGAGACAUUUUAAAUGUAAACUAAAGUUUUUCUGUCUAAUACAGAAUUAAGAGAUGUGAUUUUAAAGAGCACCAAUUAUGCUAAUAAAUUGGCACGUUAGCACGUUA